UGGGGAAUCUUGGACAAUGGGCGCAAGCCUGAUCCAGCCAUGCCGCGUGGAUGAUGAAGGCCUUAGGGUUGUAAAGCUCUUUUACGNGGGACGAUAAUGACGGUACCNGAGAAUAAGCCCCGGCAAACUUCGUGCCAGCAGCCGCGGUAAUACGAAGGGGGCUAGCGUUGUUCGGAAUUACUGGGCGUAAAGCGCACGUAGGCGGAUUGUUAAGUCAGAGGUGAAAUCCCGGAGCUCAACUUCGGAAUUGCCUUUGAUACUGGCAAUCUAGAGUCCGGAAGAGGUUAGUGGAAUUCCCAGUGUAGAGGUGAAAUUCGUAGAUAUUGGGAAGAACACCAGUGGCGAAGGCGGCUCACUGGAUCGGUACUGACGCUGAGGUGCGAAAGCGUGGGGAGCAAACAGGAUUAGAUACCCAUGUAGUCCCUGAGCGGGCUGGCAAGGCGCAU
rnacentral:rRNA from 1 species